UUAAGCGAAAAGAGCACAGGGUGAAUGCCCAGGCACUGAGAGCCGAAGAAAGACGUGAUAAGCUGCGAAAAGCGGCGGGGAUUGGCAAAUACGAGGUGAUCCGCCGAUAUCUGAAUGGGGAAACCCACCGGAGCAACCCUCCGGUACCGCAGGGUAAAUUCAUAGCCAUGCGGAGGGAACCCGCCGAACUGAAACAUCUCAGUAGGCGGAGGAAGAGAAAACAACCGUGAUUCCGAGAGUAGCGGCGAGCGAAAUCGGAGGAGCCCAAACCGCGGUGCGUGCACCGCGGGGUAAGGACCGCGAAAAAGUUCGAAGAGGGAGUGGAAGCGCGCUGGAAAGCGCCGCCAUAGAGGGUGAGAGCCCCUUACACGAAGCUCAGAGAAUGGCGCGGGAUCCGGAGUACUGUCAGACACGUGGAAGCUGGCAGGAAGAAGGGGGGACCACCCCCCAAGGCUAAAUACUACUCAGUGACCGCUAGCGAGAGUACUGUGAAGGAAAGGUGAAAAGGACCCCGGGAGGGGAGUGAAAGAGAACCUGAAACCCUGUGUUUACAAGCUGUGGAAGGACGAAGGUCCGACCGCGUACUUUUUGUAGAACGGUCCGGCGAGUUAUCGCUGCCGGCAAGGUUAAGGAUUUAAGGUCCGGAGCCGAAGCGAAAGCGAGUCUUAAUAGGGCGAAAAGUCAGCAGAGAUAGACCCGAAACCGGGUGACCUAUCCAUGUCCAGGAUGAAGCCAAAGUAAAAUUUGGUGGAGGUCCGAACGCACAUCCGUUGAAAAGGGUGGCGAUGAGGUGUGGAUAGCGGAGAAAUUCCAAUCGAACCCGGAGAUAGCUGGUUCUCCUCGAAAUAGCUUUAGGGCUAGCCUCGUGUUAAUGAUCUUUUGCAGGUAGAGCACUGAAUUCUUGAGGGGGCGUCAAAGUCUACCAAGAGAUAUCAAACUCCGAAUGGCAGGAAGACAGACACGGGAGUCAGACGAUGCGAUAUAAAUUGCAUGGUCAAAAGGGAAAGAGCCCGGAUCUACAGCUAAGGUCCCAAAGUGCGUGUUAAGUGGGAAAGGAUGUGAGAUCUCAGAGACAACUAGGAUGUUGGCUCAGAAGCAGCCACACAUUCAAAGAGUGCGUAAUAGCUCACUAGUCGAGAGGUCCUGCGCCGAAAAUUCACGGGGCUGAAACACGACACCGAAGCUUAGGGAUGGGAAACCAUCGGUAGAGGAGCAUUGAAAACCCAUAGAAGCGGGAUUGGAAGGUCCCGUGGAGAGUUUUGAAGAGAGAAUGCCGGAAUGAGUAGCGAGAUGGAGGUGGGAAUCCUCCAGGCCGAAAAUCUAAGGUUUCCAGGGUAAAGCUGAUCUGCCCUGGGGAAGUCGGGGCCUAAGGCGAGGCUGAAAAGCGUAGUCGAUGGAGAACUGGUGAAGAUUCCAGUACCGAAUGAUAUCAGAACUGCGGGGACACAUGGGGGAAGGAAGAGCCGGGAGAGAGAAGACCGGUGCAAGCGCCGAAAGGCGUGAAGCGGAACGAAGAAAAGUAGGGAAGCUUCCGGAGACCGUGGCGAGAAAAGCCGCUAUUGCGUAUCAUUUGCCCGUACCGCAAACCGACACAGGUAGAUGAGGAGAGAAUCCUAAGGCCGACGGGAGAAGCAUUGUUAAGGAACUCGGCAAAAUGACCCCGUAACUUCGGGAGAAGGGGUGCCCACGGGAGUGGGCCGCAGAGAAAAGGCUCAAGCAACUGUUUAGCAAAAACACAGGUCUAUGCGAAACCGAAAGGUAAAGUAUAUGGGCUGACGCCUGCCCGGUGCUGGAAGGUUAAGAGGAGAGGUUAGCGAAAGCGAAGCUUUGAAUUGAAGCCCCAGUAAACGGCGGCCGUAACUAUAACGGUCCUAAGGUAGCGAAAUUCCUUGUCGGGU
rnacentral:rRNA from 1 species